GGAAGUGUGAAAAAUAAAGUUGACUGGAAGCAGCCGUUCGCCGUGUUCUUUUUUGAUAAACAUGACUUCAAAUGAGGGAAGGAUCCGGAGUUCCGAGUGAGGCUCAUACAGUACGUACCUGUGGAUCGCUCAGGCGGGACGGGUCUGGGUAAAGGUAAAACUUGAUGCCAUCUAAGGCCCCGGGCAGCGUCAGCCCACGGACCAGCAACACGGCGAGCAUCAGAUAUGGAAAUGUGGCGGUGAAGUACACAACCUGCAUAAAUUGGACUUGACUCCUUUCCACACACAAAAGUAACAGAUGAUCCAAGACAAGAGAAGACAAAGAACCAGCUCCCAUCGCAUUCCUCCCAACUCAGUGACACUUCCCGUCAAGUUCAGUACUCUCCUCCUGUGCAUCACAUAUCCGCUGAUAUUCCACACACUGAAAAAUGUUUUUGUGUGUUUUUGCAUGAUUUGUACUUACUCCCAAAACUCCCUCACAGGUGAUGUUGCGUUUUCUGCCACUGUCCAGUUGAGAAGACGUCUCUGACUGAACUCCACGCACGACUCUGUUGAAAAAACAGGUCAGCAUAAACACUCAGUACACUCCGACUGCAGGGAUUGCUCACGUGCCUCGGCAGGUGCUGCUGUUUUGGGUAGCAGCAAGACUACACUCUUUUUGUGGAGCAUUAAAAGUUUAUGGCAGUGUGUUGUAACCACCAAAACACGAACACUAGGACCGCUUGUAUGUAUUUUUUUUUUAUUACCAGUGUUCCAGUUGUUUCUGCAGCUUGCCCAUGGAAGUUCAGCGCUGAAGGAAGAGAAGAGAUACAAGAAGGCCCAUGCCAGUAUGAUGAUGUAAUAGAUGCUGGAGUAUAAGACCACCACUUGACUUCCAUAGCCUAUCCCUAAGAGAGGAAAAAUGAAGAUAAAAAAUAUUCAUUCAUUCAUUUUCUACUGCUUAUCCUCACAAGAGAGCCUAUCUCAGCCGUCUUCGGGCGAGAGGCGGGGCACACCCUGGACUGGUCGCCAGCCAAACUCAAACACACGGCAUCACACCAUUUAUAAACAAUGUGUUCUCAAAUCCACAAACAUGACAUUUUGCUUUAAAAAGACACUUUAACAUGAAAAUCUAUAUAAUUACAUUCAUUCAUUUUCUACCGCUUAUCCUCACAAGGGUUGCGGGGGUGCUGGAGCCUAUCUCAGCUGGACUCCCUGGACUGGUGGCCAGCCAAUCACAGGGCACAUAUAGACAAACAACCAUUCACACUCACAUUCAUACCUAUGGACAAUUUGGAGUAGCAUGUUUUUGGAAUGUGGGAGGAAACCGGAGUACCCGGGAAAACCCAAACAUACAUCUAGAGAUGCUAAAAUUAUAUGCAUUAUUUCCACUUCAUUGUAAUAAUAUUUUAUGUGAAAUGCAUUAUCAUUGGCAUUAAUAGCAAGAAAUAUAAGUACAGUAUAUAAGCUGUCUAUGUGAAGAAUGGAGGGACUCAUUCAAGCACAUGCACACGCUUACAGUAGGCAAAAUGUGACCAUUGUAACUCAUGUUUAUGUCCUUUGAUGAGUCCUCUGCAGUGACACGUUAACCACAAAAACAAACAUGUGCUUUUGUGAAUUCUGGGAAAAGUCUUUUGCAAGUAUUUGUAUGUAUCUUGUGUGUAAAUAAACAACACAAGAAGUGUUGAUAGAACUUCUCUGCAAUAUUUGAAGUGCAGGUGUGAUAGUU